AUUGAACGCUGGCGGCGUGCCUAACACAUGCAAGUCGAGCGGCAGCGCGGGAGCAAUCCUGGCGGCGAGCGGCGGACGGGUGAGUAACGCUUGGGAAUCUGCCUGUUAGUGGGGGACAACCCGGGGAAACUCGGGCUAAUACCGCAUACGCACUACGGUGGAAAGCCGGGGACCGCAAGGCCUGGCGCUAACAGAUGAGCCCAAGUCGGAUUAGCUAGUUGGUAGGUAACGGCCUACCAAGGCGACGAUCCGUAACUGGUCUGAGAGGACGACCAGUCACACCGGAACUGAGACACGGUCCGGACUCCUACGGGAGGCAGCAGUGGGGAAUAUUGGACAAUGGGGGAAACCCUGAUCCAGCGACGCCGCGUGGGUGAAGAAGGCCUGCGGGUUGUAAAGCCCUUUCAGUGGGAAGAAAAGCCUCGACCUAACACGUCGGGGUCUUGACGUAACCCAUAGAAGAAGCACCGGCUAACUCUGUGCCAGCAGCCGC
rnacentral:rRNA from 1 species